UGCUACAAUGGCCGGUACAAAGAGAAGCGAGGCUGUGAAGCGGAGCAAAUCUCAAAAACCGGUCCCAGUUCGGAUUGUAGGCUGCAACUCGCCUACAUGAAGUCGGAGUUGCUAGUAAUCGCGGAUCAGAAUGCCGCGGUGAAUGCGUUCCCGGGUCUUGUACACACCGCCCGUCACACCAUGGAAGUUGGGGCGCCCGAAGUUGCCUAAGAAAUAAGGUACCUAAGGCGAAACCAAUGACUGGGGUGAAGUCGUAACAAGGUAAC
rnacentral:rRNA from 1 species